GACGAACGCUGGCGGCGUGCUUAACACAUGCAAGUCGAACGGAAAGGCCCUGCUUUUGUGGGGUGCUCGAGUGGCGAACGGGUGAGUAACACGUGAGUAACCUGCCCUUGACUUUGGGAUAACUUCAGGAAACUGGGGCUAAUACCGGAUAGGAGAUCCUGCUGCAUGGUGGGGGUUGGAAAGUUUCGGCGGUAGGGGAUGGACUCGCGGCUUAUCAGCUUGUUGGUGGGGUAGUGGCUUACCAAGGCUUUGACGGGUAGCCGGCCUGAGAGGGUGGCCGGCCACAUUGGGACUGAGAUACGGCGCAGACUCCUACGUGAGGCAGCAGUGGGGAAUCUUGCACAAUGGGCGGAAGCCUGAUGCAGCAACGCCGCGUGCGUGAUGCCGGCCUUCUGGUUGUAAACCGCUUUCGCCUGUGACGAAGCGGGAGUGACGGUAAUGGGUAAAGAAGCACCGGCUAACUACGUG
rnacentral:rRNA from 1 species